UAGUGGCGAACGGGUGAGUAACACGUGGGUAAUCUGCCCUGCACUCUGGGAUAAGCCUUGGAAACGAGGUCUAAUACCGGAUAUCACAACUCUUCGCAUGGAGUGUUGUUGAAAGUUCUGGCGGUGCAGGAUGAACCCGCGGCCUAUCAGCUUGUUGGUGGGGUAAUGGCCUACCAAGGCGACGACGGGUAGCCGGCCUGAGAGGGUGACCGGCCACACUGGGACUGAGACACGGCCCAGACUCCUACGGGAGGCAGCAGUGGGGAAUAUUGCACAAUGGGCGAAAGCCUGAUGCAGCGACGCCGCGUGAGGGAUGACGGCCUUCGGGUUGUAAACCUCUUUCGCCAGGGACGAAGCGCAAGUGACGGUACCUGGAUAAGAAGCACCGGCUAACUACGUGCCAGCAGCCGCGGUAAUACGUAGGGUGCGAGCGUUGUCCGGAUUUAUUGGGCGUAAAGAGCUCGUAGGCGGUUUGUCGCGUCGGCUGUGAAAUCUGGAGGCUUAACCUUCAGCGUGCAGUCGAUACGGGCAGACUUGAG
rnacentral:rRNA from 1 species